rnacentral:rRNA from 1 species
ACGCUCGACACCUACGAGGCAGCAGUAGGGAAUCUUCCACAAUGGACGCAAGUCUGAUGGAGCAACGCCGCGUGAGUGAAGAAGGUUUUCGGAUCGUAAAGCUCUGUUGUUGGUGAAGAAGGAUAGAGGUAGUAACUGGCCUUUAUUUGACGGUAAUCAACCAGAAAGUCACGGCUAACUACGUGCCACAGCCGCGGUAAUCUGAGCGGGCUGGCAAGGC